CCGAAGACCUACCCUGUUUUGCGAAUAUACUUCAUCAAUCCUUCCCUAGAGUUUAUCAUCCUGCUGCUCGUGACAGCAUUGAUAUUUUCAAGAGAAGGAAUAAUUGGAAUAUUGUUUAUUCAACGGGAAAAACAAACGGUUCUUAUCAACUGAAUAAUAGGUACUUUGUGGGUAUGUUAUUCCCUAACCGAUAUAACGAUCCAGUUCGUUCCCGGUCUCGAUAGCCUUGCAAUAACACAGUUCAAUCGUAUUGAAAUAUCGAAGCGCAUAUUCGACCGAAACAAUGUCUAUUUUUGCCGGUAUAUUUGUCUUAUUAUCAAUGGUCGUGGCAGCCCUGGCCUGUGGACUGGGUGUAUACGACAUAACAAAUGCCCGAUAGGCAUGGUGGUUGGAACUGAGAGAAUGGACAGAAGGGACAAGAAAUCAUCAACAUAUUUCCCGAGAAAAUUUUUUCAGAUGUUGGAUAAAUACAUAUAAAUAAAUAAAAUGGUAUAAACCCAUAUAAACUUCUCACUCUAAGGGUGAUUCCUGAAGAUUUCCAUAAAAUAUGACGUUGUAUAUAACCUAUAUCCACA